UUGUUCUAGUAAGAGAUUUAAAUGUUGUUAAGUUUUGUUCUAUUAAAUAUUGUUCAGUUUUGUUUGAUUAAAGGGUUUAAAUAUUGGUAAAAAUUGUUCUAUUAAGGUUCAAGUUUCAAGUUUAUUUUAUUUUUAUAACACCAGUGAUGCAUUUUGGACCAACUGAAAAUGGGCCAAAGAAGUGGCAUUCAUUCCACAAUACAAUGAAUUGCAGUAAUCUAAACAUGAUGAAAUAAUUUUAGAAAGAAGAUGGAGAUUAAAAAAGCCAGAUCUAACCACUAAUUUUACUUGUUUAUCAAAUAUCAACUUGCUGUCAGUCAAGAUUUCAAAACUGGUCAAUAUUGUUCUAUGAAGAGAUUAAAAUAUUGGUCGGUUUUGUUUUAUUAAGAGAUUUAAAUAUUGGUUAUAUUGUUCCAUUAAGAGAAUUAAUUAAUGUUCAGUUUUGUUCUGUUAAGCAAUUCAAAUGUAAACUGUUUUUGUUGUCAGCAAGAGUAAGCAAUUCUAAAAAAGUAUUAAUAUAAAAUAUGGCUGUUUGUCGCAAGGUGUAAAUUCUGAAGAAGUCUGAAAACACUGAUUCUCGGUCAAAUGCAUGAUGAUUCAAAAGUACAGUAUGACUUGUGAUUUGCUUGUACAGUUUGUGCAUGUUAUGUACAUAACAGUGCCUGAGUUUGCAGAUGGCUGGGAACCAGCGUUGGUGUUGUUGUAGAUGUUCUCUGUAGAGUUGAUGCUCUGAAAUCAGUUACAGUUGUUUGUGAGCGCUCUGGGUGGAUGUGUUCAGGUGUAGCUGUAACUUUCACUGGUAUGUCAGGGCUUGAGGUCUGAACCAGUGUUGUUGAGUCUGAGGAAAUAGUCAAACUAGAAUUAAGUGUUAUAUAAUUUGUUGUGGACUGAGAUGAUUGCGAUUCUGUCACAGGUGUUGGAGUUUCUUGACUGUCAUUUAGCAGAUUUUCUGAUGGAGAUGACAUAGAUGCUGCUUUCUGUACAUUUAUCAGUGUGCUUUUGAAGUCUGUCAGUGUUGAUGUUGUAAAUGAAGGCUCUGCAGUAUAUUCAUUGUCUGGCGUGAUUGGUGACGAUGGAGGCUGAAUAAGUGCAGUGGCAGCAGCAAAUGUUUGAGACAUUUGUGUUUUCAGAUGGUUGAAAGAUGUAGUAUUUAAUUCAUUAAUAGAUUGGUAGAUUGCUGGCGAGUAAGAAGUGUCACUUAGAGAAGUGUUCUUCAGUUGUGUAGUUGGUUGAAUGGUUGAGUGAGACUCGGCUGUACUUGUGUUUGUGAGGGUAUUUGGUUCUGAUGUUUUGGUGAAGAUAGAUGAACUUGAGUCUGGAGUUGUUGUAGAGGAAAUCAUUGUAGUUGUCGAUUCAUUUGAUGUUAUGGUGACUUGAGUAUGGUCUGAUGACUCAAGCUGUUGUGUUGUUGUAACAGUGGAGUAUGAUGUUUUAGAAGACGGAAAUGAAGAGCCUGUAGUUGUAGACGCAAGCAUUGUUGUUGUCGAUUCAGAAAAUGAUGUCUUUGUGACACUACUGUUGGUUGAAGUUUCGGUUGUUGGCUCAGGUCUUUGGGUACCAGUUGAUGUUCCAGUAGACCAAUAAAUGGAUGUAUUGCUGUCUGAGGUAUGCUCUACUUUAUAUUGUGUUUUGGAAUCAGUGGUGGUAAUGGAAUCAUUGUUUGAAUGAAUUGGAGUCAGUGUAGGUGUCUCAGAUGUUGUUGAUGUGUCCGAGCUAGUUGUUUUAGUGCUUCCUGUUGAACUUAUCCCAUGUGCAGUGGCAGUGGUUAAGGGCUCCAUGGUUUGAGUGGCAAUGCUUUGUUGUUCUGAUAUUGAGUCAGAAGUGUCACUUAGAGAAGUGUUCUUCAGUUGUGUAGUUGGUUGAAUGGUUGAGUGAGACUCAGUUGUACUUGUGUUUGUGAGGGGAUUUGGUUCUGAUGUUUUGGUGAAGAUAGAUGAACUUGAGUCUGUAGUUGUUGUAGAGGAAAUAAUUUUAGCUGUCGAUUCAUUUGAUGUGAUGGAGACUUGAGUAUGGUCUGAUGAAUCAAGCUGUUGUGUUGUUGUAACAGUGGAGUAUGAUGUUUUAGAAGACGGAAAUGAAGAGCCUGUAGUUGUAGAUGCAAGCAUUGUUGUUGUCGAUUCAGAAAAUGAUGUGUUUGUGACACUACUGUUGGUUGAAGUUUCGGUUGUUGGCUCAGGCCUUUGGGUACCAGUUGAUGUUCCAGUAGACCAAUAAAUGGAUGUAUUGCUGUCUGAGGUAUGCUCUACUUUAUAUUGUGUUUUGGAAUCAGUGGUAGUAAUGGAAUCAUUGUUUGAAUGAAUUGGAGUCAGUGUAGGUGUCUCAGAUGUUGUUGAUGUAUCCGAGCUAGUUGUUUUAGUGCUUCCUGUUGAACUGAUCCCAUGUGCAGUAGCAUUGGUUAAGGGCUCCGUUGUUUGAGUGGCAAUGCUUUGUUGGUUUGAUGUUGAGUCAGAAGUGUCACUGAGAGAAGUGUUCUUCAGUUGUGUAGUUGGUUGAAUGGUUGAGUAAGACUCGGCUGAACUUGUGUUUGUGAGGGGAUUUGGUUCUGAUGUUUUGGUGAAGAUAGAUGAACUUGAGUCUGGAGUUGUUGUAGAGGAAAACAUUUUAGCUGUCGAUUCAUUUGAUGUGAUGGAGACUUGAGUAUGGUCUGAUGAAUCAAGCUGUUGUGUUGUUGUCACAAUGGAGUAUGAUGUUAUAGAAGACGGAAAUAAAGAGCCUGUAGUUGUUGUAGGUGCAAGCAUUGUUGCUGUCAAUUCAGAAAAUGCUGUCUUAGUGAAAUUACUGUUGGUUGAAGUUUUGAUUGUUGGCUCAGGUUUUUGGGUGCCAGUUAAUGUUCCAGUAAUCCAAGAAAUGGAUGUAUUGCUGUCUGAGGUAUGCUCUACAUUAUAUUGUGUUUUGGAAUCAGUGGUGGUAAUGGAAUUAUUAUUUGCAUGAAUUGGAGUCAGUGUAGGUGUCUCAGAUGUUGUUGAUGUGUCCGAGCUAGUUGUUUUAGUGCUUCCUGUUGAACUUAUCCCAUGUGCAGUGGCAGUGGUUAAGGGCUCCAUGGUUUGAGUGGCAUUGCUUUGUUGUUUUGAUGUUGAGUCAGAAGUGUCACUGAGAGAAGUGUUCUUCAGUUGUGUAGUUGGUUGAAUGGUUGAGUAAGACUCAGUUGUACUUGUGUUUGUGAGGGGAUUUGGUUCUGAUGUUUUGGUGAAGAUAGAUGAACUUGAGUCUGGAGUUGUUGUAGAGGAAAUCAUUUUAGCUGUCGAUUCAUUUGAUGUGAUGGAGACUUGAGUAUGGUCUGAUGACUCAAGCUGUUGUGUUGUUGUCAUAGUGGAGUAUGAUGUUAUAGAAGACGGAAAUAAAGAGCCUGUAGUUGUUGUAGGUGCAAGCAUUGUUGCUGUCAAUUCAGAAAAUGCUGUCUUAGUGAAAUUACUGUUGGUUGAAGUUUUGAUUGUUGGCUCAGGCCUUUGGGUACCAGUUAAUGUUCCAGUAAUCCAAGAAAUGGAUGUAUUGCUGUCUGAGGUUUGCUCUACUUUAUAUUGUGUUUUGGAAUCAGUGGUGGUAAUGGAAUCAUUGUUUGCAUGAUUUGGAGUCAGUGUAGGUGUCUCAGAUGUUGUUGAUGUGUCCGAGCUAGUUGUUUUAGUGCUUCCUGUUGAACUGAUCCCAUGUGCAGUGGCACUAGUUAAGGGCUCCGUUGUUUGAGUGGCAAUGCUUUGUUGGUUUAAUGUUGAGUCAGAAGUGUCACUGAGAGAAGUGUUCUUCAGUUGUGUAGUGGCUUGAAUGGUGGAGUAAGACUCGG
ensembl:lncRNA